GUUUUCCUGGAAGCGAAAAUGAGAGCUAUGUCCUGUACUCAUGUGUUAGGUGAUACAUUCUACGGGACUGGAUACACCGUGAGCUCAUAUAGCCAAGUAAUCCUAACGUAUUUUCCCCGCUCAGGAUACAGCAUCAGCCACAUUGCUUCAACAUAAUCCCUGUAACGUAAAUAGGCACCAGGUGAUGAAUCCUGCCAGUGUUGAAGGAGCUCGAUCGUCUUCGAAUACCAUGAACUUCAUAGCCCUUCUCCAGAAGAAAUUCUGCC